GAAAUGCGAUAAGUAAUGUGAAUUGCAGAAUUCAGUGAAUCAUCGAAUCUUUGAACGCACAUUGCGCCCGCCAGCACUCUGGCGGGCAUGCCUGUUCGAGCGUCAUUUCAACCCUCAGAACCCCUUGCGGGAUCUGGCGUUGGGGAUUGGCAUCCAGCCAGCCCCGAAAUCUAGUGGCGGUCCCUCCGCGACCUCCCCUGUGCAGUAGCGAUACCUCGCAGCGGGACAGCGGUCUGACCACGCCGUAAAACCCCCAACUUCUCAAGGUUGACCUCGAAUCAGGUAGGAAUACCCGCGGAACUUAAGC
rnacentral:misc_RNA from 1 species